rnacentral:lncRNA from 10 species
GACAGCUUAUGUUAGAAGUCUGUCUGUUAAUCUUACCACGUUGAAGACAGUGGAAUUCUGUGAGAAAAGAUAGGCUUCACGAGUCAGUACCAGUGGUAGAUGGGUGGGCCAGUGAUAGUAUAAUACUCGUUCAGCUUGGUCACAAUCAGCGUGUCCUUUACCUGCUGCUUACAGACGUUCACAGUGACAGAUGCUCCCGUCAUGAGAGACACUGAGCACCAUCAGACACCUGCCCCUGGAGCGCCAUCCUAGCCAGAGAGAUACACACAGGCCCAGCCCACUCAGCCCAGCCAGACCCUCUCCGCCACCUCCUUUCCCCUUGCUCCCCAUCCAGCCUCUCUCCCCAUCUCCCCUCUCUGCUAUGGAUUGAAUGUGUUCCUCAGAAAUUCAUACGCUGAAGCCCUAACCACCACUCCCUCAGAAUGUGACCUUAUUUGGAAUAGGGUCGUUGCAGAUGUCAUUUGUUAAGAUGAGGUCCUCAUGGUCGAGCCUAAUCCAGUAUGACUGGUGUUCUUAUAAAAAGAGGAAUUUGGGCACAGACACACACACACAGGGAGAACAUCACGUAAAGGAGAAGUCAGAUCACGGCUUUGCUUCUGCGUGCUAAGGAAUAGCAAAGAUUGCCAGCGAACCACCAGAAGCUAGGGGAGCGGCCUGGAACAGGCUCGGCCUCGCAGCCCUCAGAGGGAUCCAGCCCUGCCGACCCAUGAUCUCAGACUUCUAGCCUCCAGGACUGCGGACAAUCAGUGUCUGCUGUUUAAGCAAACCGGUUUGUACUUUGUCGUGGCAGCCCUAGAAAAUAAAUAUCACCCUGCCCCCACCCACAUACACAUACCUCACACACACCACACACACACACCACACACCUCACCCACACACACGCACACAUACACCACACACCACACACACACUUAUACAACACACACAACACACCACACACACACUUAUACACCACACACACGCACACAUACACCACAUACACUUAUACACCACACACACACCACACACACUUAUACACCACACACAUGCACACAUACAGCACACACACACACACCACACACACCACACACAUGCACACAUACAGCACACACACACAUACACCACACACAACACACCACACACACUUAUACAUCACACACCACACACACACCACACACAUGCACACAUACAGCACACACACACAUACACCACACAACACACCACACACUUUACACCACAUACACACGCACACAUACACCACAGACGCACUUAUACACACAUAACACACCACACACACUUAUACAGCACACACGCACGCACAUACACCACACACCAC